CUUUUAUCUUCUCUUGGCAAGUGUUAUAACCCCAAAAGCAUGUCUUGACUAAAUUACAAUAACAGAAAAAUUAUUGUUCUUGUUUAAAAAACAAAAUGAAAUUAGAAAAAUUGUUUUUGAGUUGCUAGUAUAUGAUAGCUAUUCAGUGAAUAGGAAAGAGUUUGUAAUCAUUCGUAAGUCUUUAAAAAAUAAUAAUAGCACUUCAAAAAGAUUAAAUUUUGUCUGCUGCCAAGGUCUUCUGAAAGUCUUUUGAUUUUUCUUUUACAUUGCAAAAUUGGUUAGGCAAUUUAGUCUUACCCAUUGUAUGUAAGAGAUAUUGGAAACUAACAUGCUCAGUUCCAGUGACUUAAUCAGACAAGAUUUAGGUAAGAUUAGCAAUUAGAAACUUCACAUGCCCUCUCCACUGCUGUAUCUGCCAAGAUUUGAAUCAUAGUUGCCUCAGGUUAAUGUUUUACAAGAACAAUUGGAAUACGUUUACAUUGAUGCCAAGUUAAAUUCUUAAGAGGUGGAAUCAGUACCCUGCUAUGAGUGUUAAAUGGAUGCAUGCAUGAGCUGGUAAGCAGAUUACAUUUUGAUAUCUUCUCUUACUUCUUGUUUUAGUGUUGCCUUCAGUAAAAUGCGAGAUUUGGAGUUCUGAUUUGUCUUUCAUUAUUUCCAAAAAAAGCGAGAAGCUUUUGUGUCUUUGGGGGAAUUAUCUGAUUUUCCUGCUUGGCGCUUCCCAGUCUUAAAAUUGGGUCCAUUUGUUCUAAUUCAACCCACAUCGCAGGCUCUGGGUUUAGCUCUACAAUGAAAUGUGUUAUGUAAGGGUGUUUUUUGUUGUUCUGUCACCCUGAUUUUCACUGUGAGAAAGUAAAUUAGAGAUGUAUGGCCUGAUAAAGAAGUUAAACCAACAUUAGUUCUACAGUAGGUUAUAGUAGUUCUGCAGUAGGAUAUUGCCUGAGUGUGUUAAUUCAGGGGAAGGUCUUUAAGUAGUAUUGCUAGAAGGGACCUUGAAAUAAUCUAGCCUGUCCUCACAUUCCAAUAGAUACAAAUACCUGUUUCUGUAAUACCUGAUUUAGUUUAUAUUGUGUGUUAUGACUUCUCCAGUCCAUACAGCAGAGGCCUAUGUUACUCCUUGCCCAUUAGAACACUUCCUUCUUCCUUUCAUAACUACUUGAAGGCCUGCUUUCCUUGCUGAAGAACUUGUGCCUAGCAAAUUUGAACUUCUCUCCUACCACAAGACACUUCAGGCUGCUCUGUAAAAAAGGAAUUGCUGUACUUGCUGGUCGAGGGAAGAUGAUGGGGCUUGGGAAAUUCCUUCACAGAACAUAUUCAAGAAGAAUCGGAACAUCUUACUGAAUUUUAUUUCCAAUGUUUCCAAACAACUUUUGAAGUGAAGAAAAGGUGAACAAGUAAUUAGAUCACCCUGUGUUAACCAAAAGCACUGGUGAGGUGACGGAAAUUUUUAAUGACUUAAUUUCAGUGGAUGGCAUUGUGACACUGUUGGUGGCGGCUACCAACUCUACCAGAAUUCAUACAAUAACUGGCAUGAUUCUUACGAAAGAAAUCUUGUUAUCAUCAUGCAGUUGCAAUGAACUCACAGUACAUUACUCCUUGCUCUGGUGCAGAUAGUGUGGAGGACUUGUCUCCAGCGCUCUUGAGAGUCUGUUGGCGGUGGUUGGAUAGGUCUUACCUUAAGUAGUACUGCAUGGUGAUAGAAGAGGCAUUACAUUGGCACAGCUCUGUCAGAUAGCCUCAGCUCUUAGAAAGGCUGCAGGGCUGGAUAUGUUGUAUUGUGUUCCUGAUAGCUCCUAUGCUUUGGAGAAGGGAUACUUCUGUGAGGCAUUUGUGUGACAGUCUGACCACCCAUUCAGUGUCUGUAACAUGAGUUUCAAUCCUCAUUUCACAAAGAAAUGGAAAUCUGUAGGAGUGAUGAUGGGGAACAAGAAGAGGAGAGGGACACUAAAAAAGGAGAAAUGUAUUUCUUCAGGGAUUCACUAACAGCUGUUCUAAGUGUGGGUAAGGAGGUUAUUUGUACGCAGUUCUGCACUUGAGGAUGUUUGUGCAGAAACUGUUUGGAUCCGCAGAGUGUGCUUCAAUUUUAGACAUGAAUUCCGCUUACACAGCGCACAGAGUAAAUGGGAUUUACCCUCCAUUUCCAUCAGUUCAGUUUUUUUUCAAAAUAAUUUCGAUUACUAUUUUCAAAUGAAUUGACAGGAUUAAAAACGGUUGCAGAGGAAAAAAAAGUGUGAAAGUUAAGACCAACCUAGAGUACAAGUCAGACUUUGGUACAGCUUGGCAUUUGGCAGAAAAGUGCUUCUAAAACCAUGGGAUCUCAGCAGAGAUGGAGGUGAAGGUCAGAAAUUUGGUAGAACUUAAUCUCAGAAGAGCAGAUCUCUGGACCAGCCACUUGGCUGAAGCUAUAGACUGCACAGGAAUGAAUAUAUGAAGUAUGAAACAUGAAAGAAAUAACAGCCAUAUCUCUGGAAAUGUGAUGCUUCAUGUACACCCUGCCCUUCGUGAUUUUAGGUUGUUUCUUCAUAUGAUUGGAAAGAAGUGAAAGCCUGCAUGUGAAACCAGAACAGUAGUACUAAGGACUUGUUUGUUUUAUAAGUGAGGACAUUUUAAGGUGCAUCAUCACAGUAAUCGUUGCUGAACUGAUCUUGGUGCUCAGUCAGCAGAGCCAGUCAUCUGGGGUAAGUGUGCCAUGUAUGCUUAUCCUUGGUGACUAAGUCGUGGGACUUCGGAAGCUGGAUCAGGGACUUGCUGCGUGAUCUCAAGCAAGUUGUUUAUAGUCAUCAUGUUUACUGUACCAGAUGCUCAACAAACUGCCUGGGUUCAUUCUGGGAAAUAACACUCUAUUACAAAACAGACACAGUUCCCAGACAGAAAAGUAAUUUAGCUUAAUCUUCUCUUUCCUCGUACAUGAAAUGUGGCUUCUUGCUUUCCUCCUCUCCCCUGGUGAAGGGUUGGGUAUUUUCACUAAAAUUACUUACUGCAGUGAAAAUCACUACCAGCAGUUUAAAAGUUGUGUAUUCUAGGGUUCAGGUUUAUCAUAUUCUACAGUUCCCAGGUGCCCCAGGUUGACAGAAUAACAUGUGCUGUACUGUGGUUUAUGUGUACUCGUAAUAUAUAGAAUUAGAAUCAUUGCAGAUCAACUGUUUUUCACUGAAUUAUAGUCAGGCAUUAAGGUGCCUUCAUUCCAGGAGGGGUUUACUCUUGUGCCAUCCCAUAAGGAGAGAAAAUAAGAGGAUGAUGCACUUCAGUCUGUAUUUAUUUUAUUAAUGCAAAGUGGCAUUAUAUUCCCUAAGUUCAGUGCAUUUCCAAUGGUGCGCUGCUGAAGGAAACAUUGAACAUUGUGGUAACUUAGGCCAUGAUAUGUUAGAAGCUAUACAGAGAUCUAAUGGUAUUAUCAGGAGAAUAAAGUCUAAUGGUUCACAAAUUCUAGUUCUCAGAUCCUCUGUAAUUCUUGGACUUCAUGUUGAUAGUCCAUAAAAGAUGAAUCUCUUGCAGGAGGGAGAACAGUCAACUUCACAGUCUAGGAACAGAACUGAGAACCUCUGGCUCUGACAAACUUUUCCAGGCAGUGCUUUUUGGUGCUUCUGGCAUGAGCAUCUGCCAAGUCACCUGAUUUUACACUCAGCUCUACCAGAAUUUGCAGGUGCUGUCCAGGUUCAAAAGAUCUUCGAGUAAAUCUGCAGCUCUAUUGGCUUCAGUCUCUGUCUUUCAGAUUGCUGAGAGCUCCGCAGGGAUGCAAACAUGCCAAGAUGUUGAAAUGGUGAAUCACGUCUGUCUCCCAGCUGCCUUUCGAAGACAUAAGAGGCAUAUGGCUUUCUGAGGAAUGUUGCCACCACCAUCCAGAUCUUGGAACAGUUCUAUGGAGUCCUUAUUGCUCACUCCACAAAGCAAGAGAUGGACAAUACAGAUCUAGGGGGAAAUUGUGCAAAAGUGACUUCAGACUCUGUGAUACCCCACCCAGAGACAGCUGCACACUGCUGCUCUGUGAAAAAAAUUAUAUUUCUGCUGCGCAGGCUUAGCUGCUAAAAUCUUCAGAAAUCCAGUGUCGCAGAAAAGAGCUGGCCAAGUGCAAGGAUCCAGGCAUCCUCAUUCAAGGGGAACACAGUGCAGAUACCACAUGCUGAAAUUUGUUUUCCAGUGUAGAAACCUUGCAAUGAAACUAGCCUUAGAGCCUUGCAGCAUUGCUGGGGUAAUUCAAAGCACUUACUGUGCAAGCCAAAAUCCAGACAGUCCUUUUUAAGUAGCACACAGGGUUGGAAGAGAAGAGGGAAUAUUCUGGCUUUCUGUAUCUGUGUUGUGGCCCGAGUAUAGCUCACUGUUGGCACAUUCACUACUGUCUGGCAAACUUGAGUGCUGAGGGACCUGAGAAGCAGUGAUAAAGUGAUAUUGUUCUAGUGCUAGGGCUGUCCUUACCAGAUAGGAAAGGGAAGAAAGGCAAAUGUACUUCCACAACAACUUCACAGUUAUCUAGAGCUGAAUGUGUGCCUGUGCUGGAGCUACGCUGUUAUUAGCCCUCCAGAUCUUUUCUCUGACCACCCAAGAGUAUACAGACCAGUAGGUUUCCAUUUUUCUGCAUAGUACAUAGGUCUAUAUCCUUAAAUAGUCUUGUUUUUGCACAUCAUCUUUCGUCACUGCAAACCACAUUUCAAGAUGAUUCAGAUACAUUCUUGGUGGCUAAAAUUGCAACACUUUUCAGGGGAAGACUGUAAAGUUGUAAAUUUGUUUUUUUCAGUCCAUCAUCCACAUAUUGAAACCCAAAUGCUGCUUUUCCACAUUGACACUUUCAGUUUCAUCUCUAGUCUUUUAUGGAGAAAAGAGAGUUGAUGCUGUGCUGGGAGCAGUCAAAUAUUUCACAUAGAUAAUCCUCAUGGAGUAUCCGUGGGUCAUCGUCUUCAGCAAGAGGCUACAAGGAACAGGGAACAGCUGAUGCGUUCUGUAGAUGGAGAUCAGCACCAAAAACCCGAGAGACGCUAGACCUGCAUAUUUGCCUCUCAGAGGCAAUGGCUACCUGCUCAUUGUACUGAAACCUGUCCCCACCGCUGAAGGGAAUCCAUCGGCCCAGCAACACACAAAGCUUGAUCCAAAGCUUCUCCAUGGUCAGUAAAGGCCUACGUGUUGGGAAGACCAUAAUCAUUUUUAAUGAUGACAUGUUUUAAUUAAGAAGUACAUUAUCCUCCACCUUGUGAAAUUCUCUUUAAAUAUUUUCUUCUUGUGCCCACAGAAGUGUGUCGUUUGCAUUAAUUAACACUUUUCUCUUUGUGAAAUUACACAGUGCAGCGCAGCCCCUGUAUGUGAACCAAGAUUUUCUGGGAUAAAAUUAAUGAGAUUUUCCGGUGUAAGUUUAAAUCAUGCAAGAUCUUUUUGGCUGCAAAAAGGUCCACAUAAUGUUUAGGCUUUAGAAAUCAAGAUGAAGAGUGUAGACCUGGGUGGAGUACGGUUUAGGAGUACUCAAGCAGUGUCAGUAUACUAAGUGAACGGAGUCAGCUCAAGGAUUCCUUUCCUCACCAGCCUCUAACCAAUGUAACAUAACAAGCCCCAAACAACUCUAUUCAUGAAAUUAUAAAAAAACUGGAAAAUGAGACAUAAAAGAAAAUGCAAAGAGGCAGUGUGCAACUUCCUAAAGCUUGAGAAAAUUUAAGAAGUGUUAUUUUGCCUUGUCCAGCUAUUUAAGCAUAAAAAGAGAUUUUCUGCAGUCAGAAAUUCUCCCUGGUUUGGUAAAUACCAACAUAUACAUUCCAUCAGCUCAGGCAAAGCCAAAAGUGUUUGCAGCUUGGCAGAGGGUUUUCCUAAUGAACAAGUAGCAUUUAUUUCACAAAUAAUAUUGCUUUGUUUUAGUCUCAUAUAGAACAAAAACAAGGCUGAGUUUUAAAAGCCUCCUUAAGAAAUUAUUACUGUAAAAUUGUAAACGUCCUUCCUUUGCACUUGAGGACAAGGAAAAUAGCAUGGGACGGCUUACUCUGCCCUCACGUGAUUCUCCUUCUCUUAGAUGACCUGAGAUCAAAAAGUACUGCCUCCUAACCUGGCACCUGCCUUAGCAUUUUUAGUGACAAGAGAGGAGCCAAUCUGGGAGCGUAGUCUAUGUGGAGACAAGCUAUUUGUCAAAAGAGUUGGCUGGAAGGGUGGAGCUGAUGCAGGGCACGUUAUGCAUGUGCUACAGUUCCAUGGUUAAGCCACUCUACAUCUUGUAGCACUUGGAAUUUAACAAUCACUUUCACAAUAUUUUUUGCCCAUUUUGAAACUCUGCAGUCCUCAAGAAUAUCAUUUUUUUUUGUUUGUUUGGAAAGUGUAUCAAUCCAUUAGCAUCAUAAAAUACUACAUGAUUCCUAUCGUGCAUUAGAGUAUGUUUCCUUCACAGACCUGGCAAUGAUUUUCCUAGGUCAGAACCAGAGACGCUGACUCAGAGGUAGACUCCUUGCACCCCUAUUUCCACGUGUUCAAUCCAGGCAUUCUAGUCCACUGACAUCUGCCCUGAAUGGGCCUGCUCUGGAUGCUGGAUAGCAAAAAGUGGUAUGUGGGACCAGCUCCUCCACCCAAUAAAACUACAAAUGUCACAGAGAAAAGACUGCACAGAUUGAAUUUUGAUUCCUUACAUGGGAUCUGCAAUUUUGAGUGAUGCUUAAGAUAGUUCUUUUUUUUCUUUCUGCUCUCUCAUUCCUACGCUUCUUUUCACAACUAGAUUUUACCCCCAGGAGAUGAUUUGAUAUUUUAAUGUUGUUGGACUUUUGCCUAUUUGAUCAGCAGAGGUGCUGAAAUCAGCAGGCUACUUCUGGCUUUUCCACAUAGGUCCCAUAUUACCCUGUGUACCAAGCAUCUGGGCUGGGCAGUAUUAUCCUUAUUCAUGUUGAUGAGUAAUCGUGACACUGACACGAGCGGUGUGAACACCAACCUCAGCAAAGGUUGCAAAAUCUCAUGCGUACCUCUGCACUUGUGUUAGCUAUCAGGAAACUGUUCUCUAACCUCCUAGCUGAGUGGAGUAAGCUAAAACACCUAUCAGCCACUGCGGAAGGGUAGUGGACUGACAGCAUGAGAUUGUUAGAUUCCUUGUGUUGUGUUGCGAUGUCCUGUAGCCCCAGGAGAACACUCUCCAAAGCCCCAAACAAGAGACUUCCUCUCAGAUGUGAAAAAUUCUGUGUCAAGGCCAAGUGACUUCUUUCUCGUCUACCCUCCUGCAGAGCUUGUCCCUUAGAUGAAGAUUUGCUUCCACACUGUUAAAGCUCAUUAUUUUUCCUUGGAAUAUGUUACCAAAGGGGUGGAUGUAUUCUGAAUGGAUUUCAAUCAAUUUCUCGUUUGCCUAAUAGGGUAUUUGUUUUUAUUUGUUAGUUUCCCCCUGAAAGAAAAGAAAAAACAAGUAACAGCAGCAACAAACAGGAAAAGA